rnacentral:sRNA from 1 species
AAAAAUGCAAGAAUAAAAGGAAAAAAAAAUACCAUUACAUAAAUGGAAUUUAUAUAACAUGAGAGAUAAGAGCAUGUGAAGAAUGCAAAAAUAUGUUGUGGCCAACAUUUCUCAAAGAAAACUCCUUGAUUAGGAAGUAACCACAUAGUUUUCGAGGUUGUUGAGUUGAGUAGACAUAACAUAAAUAUAAAUAGGUUAUAAUAAUACAAACAACUUUCGAUAAGGGUUACCAGAAGCCUGAAUGGGUUUCCGUUUACCACUUCAUCUUCUUCCUUGAAACCACGCAUCUCAUGGCAAUGGCACUCGACGCUGCAGUUUGGAUCGCAAAGAUGACAUGGAUUGCUCUCAGUGGCUGGAUUAGUUCUUGUUUAACUGUUGCUGAUGAAUUUGCCUCUUCUCUACGUUCUGGCGAUAUUGGCCCUUUUCAUGUGGGUUGACUCAAUCAUGUCUCUUUCUUGCAACGGGCUUUGCUUUAAGUAGUUUGUUGUAUAUGAUAACCAUUGAGCAUCUGCUUAGGGAUCUGCAGUUCUUCUUUAGCCAAAGAAACAUUAUAUUAGAGCAUAGCAUAUUUUCUCUUUAUUAUUUGCAAGUAGUGUAAAAUGUGUCCAAUCCAAUCAAUAAUCUUGUGACCUUUUCAUUGUAUCUAAUCCUAAUUUAACUUUACCCUUGUGUGUGGUGCAAUUUCUUGACCAAUUAGAUAAUGUGAUGAAUAUUGUGGUGUGUCAGCUGUAUGAAGUUAAACCUUAAGAUGUCAUAAAAGCUUUCUGGAAAUUAUUAUAUUGUGCUGAGGCUAAUUGGUCUGUAUGUUGUUAUGUUAUGUUAAUUCACAAUAUAAGGAAAAGUAUAGGUUGGAUAUAAAUUGAAAGUUUAAGGGUGCUACUUUUGAUACCCUUAUGAGAAAGUUGAUGCUUAGAAAAUUCUAGGGGCACUUAUAUAUUAUGCUUAAAUGUGUUUUUAGCAUACUGAAAUUCGUUCUAUUACAAAGUGGGUUUUUGCCUAACUCAAUCCUACAAAAUCGGCUUGUAAGGUG